UAUGAGUUCAGAGGGAAGGAAGUGCAUGCUGAUUGGUUCAUGGGAGGCCAUGGACAGGCCCACAGAAAGCGUCAUAAGUUCACAUCCUUGUCCAUCAGCCCAGCCCUCAGGCUUCACGCCAUCCUUGGCUUGAAGGUGAGGCUUCAAAGGGGACCUGAUUCUUUUCACCCUGGAGUUUAUCUACCUCCUGCCAUUGCCUAGGUUGUUUGUGCUGAGUGGUAUCUGCAAGCCAGUGCCAGGUUGCCCUCAGCCCCCUCUGUCAGACUCCCUCCUGUGGUUGUCGGUGCCCAAAGUCUGAAGGGCGCAGAGGCGGCAAGGGGCGGGCAUGUCAAUGCUGUCUUGAGCACACGCACAGCCGGCCAGGUCGUGACAGCGCCUGGGCUCAGCCUAUAUUCUGCUCCAAGAUCAGAGUGGGUGCUGGGAACGGAGAGAGGCCAGACAGCCGGAGCAGGCACUGCCAAACCUACGGGGGCAGGGGGGAUUCUAGGCCCCUGAAAACGCAGAGACACCCGGGCCAGCAGCUGUGGCCUGGGCUGCAGCUGCGCCCAGAAGGGCGGGGCUCCUGUCCGGGCUGGGCUCCUGACUGUUCCUGGCCCCCAGGAGCACAGAGAUGCCUGGGUCCCGAGCCUCGGCUGGGCGGCCGCAGCUUUGCCCGGGGAGCAGGAGGCUCCUGCCGUGCCAACUCGAAGGAGACAGGGAUUCCACCUUUUCCCAGUUUUUGCCAGCUCCCUGGAGCACAGCCCCGGCUGAGCCUGCCCCACUGCAGCCGGCAUCAUGGCAGUGGCUGCUCAAGACAGGAUGCUGAUGCCAUCAAUACUUUUCACAAGCCACUGAGUCAUCUGUUGAAUGCCACCUGGAAGGUAACUAUACUACUGCCUUAGCAAUGGAUGUUUUAAUGCCAAGGACAUCUAUAAUAUCCUUUAUAUCGUGUUCCUUCAACUGCUGAUGCUUGUCACCUGACACGGUAGUGGUUGCUAAGGUAAAUGCAGAUUUGUAUCUCCUAUAG
ensembl:lincRNA